rnacentral:rRNA from 1 species
AUUGAACGCUGGCGGAAUGCUUUACACAUGCAAGUCGAACGGUAGAGGGGGCAACCCCUUGAGAGUGGCGAACGGGUGAGUAAUAUAUCGGAACGUGCCCAGUCGUGGGGGAUAACGUAGCGAAAGUUACGCUAAUACCGCAUACGAUCUAUGGAUGAAAGCGGGGGACCGUAAGGCCUCGCGCGAUUGGAGCGGCCGAUAUCAGAUUAGGUAGUUGGUGGGGUAAAGGCUCACCAAGCCAACGAUCUGUAGCUGGUCUGAGAGGACGACCAGCCACACUGGAACUGAGACACGGUCCAGACUCCUACGGGAGGCAGCAGUGGGGAAUUUUGGACAAUGGACGCAAGUCUGAUCCAGCCAUUCCGCGUGCAGGAUGAAGGCCCUCGGGUUGUAAACUGCUUUGUCAGGGAAGAAAUCUUCUGAGUUAACACCUCGGGAGGAUGACGGUACCUGAAGAAUAAGCACCGGCUAACUACGUG